UGCUGAUGGGGUCCCAAACUACGGCCGCGGAAGAGUAAGUGACCAGGUCUCAGUGUCUGGGGAAGGAACGCCCUGUUGCUCGUAUGCAGUAAAACCUCGAUCCCCUCACUGCUCCACGAUACUCCUGGCCUGAGGUCAUCCCCUUGUGAGGCUGGAGCAAAGUUCUGACAAGAUGAGCGGUGCAGCAAGUAAAUCAUUAAUAUUUGUUGGACUGCUUUUCAGCUGCCUGGAAAUGUUCUCUAUCAAAACUAGAUGAUCCAUGGCCCUCCCGAUGAUGACUUCUGCUUCUGGAUCUUCUGGGAGACCUCCUAGGACUGAUGGAUCGUCUUGGAGACCUUUUAAAAUAAAAGAUACUCAAUAUGAAAUACAACCUUUUAAAGUCUGCUUUUAAUUUGCUGGUCAAUGGUCUUCUGGACUGGUACAGGAAUUCUUGGAAACAGCGUGGAAAACCAUUCAAGCUUAGUGAGGAAGGAGCGAAGCAUCUCGCCAAUGGUCAUAACACAACCCCCACCUGCCUUCACAUCCAGGUCCUGCAAAAUACAAGCAAAAAAUAUCCUGAUGGUCAAAAAUAUUCUUUACUGAUUUUUAAAAUAAAUGCUGCUACAUUACUGCCCUCUUGAAGUCUCAUGAUUAUGGAAGUUUGUCUCAUAUUCUAAUAUAUUUCCUUAGAAAAAUUCAAACUCUGUACCCUUUGGAUUUGGUAGUAUGUUACAGAUAGGAAAUGGGACUUAAUAUAUAUGCAUGCAGGCACAUACUAAUCCUGCAGCCAUCUGCAUGGUAAGGGACUGUCACCAAAGAGAUUAAUGCUAAAUCCCCUUACACAGUCUCGUUAUAUGGUAUGAUCUUGUAUUUAUAUGCCACAAAGUCCUCUCAAACUACAUUUAAUACUCCAUGGAUGUACAACUGCAUACUCAUACCCAGCCCUGUGGCCUACAUCAAUUAAGAACAUCAUUGCCUGUCUAAAAAUGAUCAUAGAAAAACCUCUAGUACAAAAUGGCAUCCUGACAGAAUUGGAAGCAAUAGCAAACCAACUGCCAUGAAGCAGUGAGUUCUCUAAUUUAGAAAUAUGUAAAAAAAUAAAUAAAUGAACAAAUAAUUGGAAACGCAUAAUCCA